UAGGGAAUCUUCCACAAUGGACGCAAGUCUGAUGGAGCAACGCCGCGUGAGUGAAGAAGGUUUUCGGAUCGUAAAGCUCUGUUGUUGGUGAAGAAGGAUAGAGGUAGUAACUGGCCUUUAUUUGACGGUAAUCAACCAGAAAGUCACGGCUAACUACGUGCCAGCAGCCGCGGUAAUACGUAGGUGGCAAGCGUUGUCCGGAUUUAUUGGGCGUAAAGCGAGCGCAGGCGGAAGAAUAAGUCUGAUGUGAAAGCCCUCGGCUUAACCGAGGAACUGCAUCGGAAACUGUUUUUCUUGAGUGCAGAAGAGGAGAGUGGAAUUCCAUGUGUAGCGGUGGAAUGCGUAGAUAUAUGGCAGAACACCAGUGGCGAAGGCGACUCUCUGGUCUGCAACUGACGCUGAGGCUCGAAAGCAUGGGUAGCGAACAGG
rnacentral:rRNA from 1 species